UAUUUUAAGGUUAAAUUAGACUGCUUCUGUGGUAUCUUUAGAAUUUAGAAUGACACGUAUACUGGCUAAUUUGACUGAUGAUUUAAGGUUUGCUACAAUGAGUAUUUAAAAUUUUUACUUUUUAGAUAUUUUGCAGCAAAUCUUAGAUUGAACUUUUAAAAUCUUUGCACUAUAUUUAAAGCCAAGAGCUCAUAAUUAGAUUUUAUUUGAGCACUUAGGAGAUUUUAUUUAACCUCUUUUAAGAAUCUCAAAGGUCUGAAAUUCAGUAUCCAUGUAGAAGACAUUCCUGGAUAAGUCUUGAUAACAUAACCAACAUUUUGAACACAACGUUGUUCUUAAACAAAAUGAAGUCGCUGCGAACAAAACCAAUCUUAACUUGUGCAUGCCAUCCUGAUUAACCCCAUGUGUUCAGAAUCUGAACGUUACCAGUAACCAAGUCGCCUUGGUUGUUUACUGCUUUUUUUCCCCUUAUUUGGGUUUAACGUGAUUGAGAUAAUAUGACCAACCCUUGACAGUUAGAGUAGCUUUUAUGCACUAAAGACAACAAAUCAUUAUUUGAUGUGUAUACACAUAAGUACAAUAAGUUUUAGAUAUUAUAAGCAUGCACAAAAAUUGUGCUAAAAACAAAUGGAUAAAUUCAAGUUGGCCCUAAGUUAUUUCCUAGAAUUCCUGUAGCAAGGGAAAUAUUUUUGCCCACAGUUUGAUGACCUGGACUCUGGUGUCCCGGUCACACUCCUGAUUCCCCCUUUUUGCUUCCUCGCGCUCGUCCUCCUGGUGGGAAGAGCCACGGAUCCCAAACCCCAGCAGCACAAAGCAGCUACCCGGAGGCCCGCAAGAGGCAACGCACCAUCCCAGCCGUGACUGUCUAGACCCUCAACCAGGACAAGACAGGGAUCUCAGGGAGAACCAGUGGAUGCCACGCCACCCAGGCAAUGCUAGAGGGAGGACCGCAGUGAAGACCGCAAGAGAGGAAGCCAGCUCAGCCUCUGGAGGAAACACGCAGGUGCCGUUCUCCAUGCAGAUGUUGCUGUUCUGAGUGAAUCCUCACGCUGAAAGCUGGAUAUCUCAAAGAAUGUAUGCAUGGUGACAGCAAAUGGGAGCCAGAUGAUUUCUUUUCAUUGCUAAAUGACUUUCCUAAAUACCAGAGUUCAGGUCCACUAAGAGACUGGAAGAGGACAAGAGGAAUCCUCAUUUCCAGAGCCAGUAGAGCAGAGUCUGUCCAACAUUUUUGCCCUAGUGUUGGAAAUCAUACUUCCUGUGAACUCAAAAAGUUUUCUUCCAAGAGAAGAGGUGGUAACCUAGGCUCAUACACACAAUCUUCCACUAGAGCCAGGAGGACUGUGCACUGCAGAUGUCAUAUGUGGCUUAUUUCAAGAUAUGUAUGAAGGAAGAAUUAUAACUCGUGGACUACAAGGAGAAGCAAGGAAGAGAUUGAUGAAGAAUGGAGUAUAUCGUGAUCUUGAAUUUCAGUGCUUGUAUUUGAGUCUGGGUCUGCUAGAACUUCUGCUCUAUGAUGUACUAUUGAAGUCGAGAUUCACAUGUGGCAACUGAUGAUUACAUGGCAUUUUUAAGGAGAAUGUAUAAAUUAGGUUCAUAAAAGAAAAUUUAUCUUAUAACAGAAAUCUUAAAAGAUAAUGUUAUUUCUGAAUGUUAUUGGAAUUAUUCUUAGUAGAUGAAAGAUAUAAAAUGUUGUAAAAAUAAUAUUUCUAAUAAUAUGUUGCAAUGAAAAGUUUUAUACUAUUUUGAACUGCUUCAAAACAAAUCUUCAGGUAGAUGUUCUAUGCAAAAAUGAUUACUUGUUCUGUCAAAAUGCCCAUUGUUUAAGUCGAACCUGAACCACAAAGUUGACAUUAAUGCUUUAGUGGAAUUAAAUAUCAAUUCUGUGAUAACAAAGAUGUAUUUUCCUUUUUGUUUCAUUUGAUAUAUAUUAAAAAUUAGUUAUGUAUUCACUUAGUGAAGAAUUCAUCUACUUAGAGCUAGGAUGGCACUCUGCUCUGUGCAUUUUCCUGCUUCAGUCUGCUGAGUAGCAGGGAUUCAAGGUGUGAACUACAACACCAGGCUAAACUUCAAGUUUUGAACUAAUAUUUGGGGGUUUUAAAAAUUAUCUUCAAGUUUAGGAGAUGCAGAUACUAUCUUGAUCAUCAUAGAAGACAUGUUAAGUUGAAUCACCUCUUCAAAAUUCUGUCCCCAC